UACGGAGGGUGCAAGCGUUGUUCGGCAUUACUGGGCGUAAAGGGCGCGUAGGCGGUAUAAUAAGUUAGGUGUGAAAUCUUCGGGCUUAACCCGGAAAGUGCACUUAAAACUGUUAUACUAGAGUUCGGGAGGGGAAAGCGGAAUUCCUAGUGUAGAGGUGAAAUUUGUAGAUAUUAGGAAGAACACCGGUGGCGAAGGCGGCUUUCUGGAACGAUACUGACGCUGAGGCGCGAAAGCGUGGGGAGCAAACAGG
rnacentral:rRNA from 1 species